CCUCAGCAACUAUAAGCCCAACCAAGGCCUGUUUAAGGGAGGAGACACGUGGUCACCUCCACGUCCACGUGAGGAGUUGCUCGCCUACGUUAGAAGCAUUGGGUGGUGUCGUGUGUGGCAGGCUGGCUGGAAGUGCCUUCCGUAUGCCACUUCCUCAUAUCACUUCCUCACAGGCUCAGGUAUGCCUCUGUACACAGGUUACUUUCCAUUCAUGCCUUCCUUCCUCCCCCCUGCUGACAGUUAAGAGAAGAUGCAGUUUCCCUGGUCCUCAGGGAUGUUGGUGCAGAGGGACAGCUUACUGCUGGACUGAGUGGGUUUGGAGGUCACUAUCACAGUCCAAGUAGUCAACUGGAUUUCUCCCUGGAGCACCCCAGGCCCACUGCUCCCCUACAGCUGAACCCACCAUGGCCCCUUGGCUCCUACGGGUACUUUCUGCUUUUGCUCUCUAGGGCUGGCUCCAGGCCCCCUCCUCCAGGA
rnacentral:lncRNA from 1 species